GUCUAGUUGAGAGGAGAGGGUGGAAUUAUAGAAAGAGGUUGCAGAGAUAGGACAGGUGAGGUUUGAGAUAGGUAAAAGGAGAGUUUGGAGAUUAGUGGAGAAAUGCUCUAGGUCAGGGCUGUCCAACCUGCGGCCCCAAGAUGUUGCUGAACUACAACUCCCAUGAUUCCCUGGCUAUCUGUUUCAUUGAAAGAAUCAUGGGAGUUGUAGUUCAGCAAAAUCUGGGGGGCCGCAGGUUGGACAGGCCUGCUCUAGGUCAAGACAUUGGAGGUUUCUGUGAGAUUGAUGUUCAGACAGUGGUGUCAAUUGAGUCUUAGGUAUGCCGAUGUCAAAUGUCAGCAGAUAGUGGUCAGAUAGAGGAAAAGUAAUAUUGGAGAUUUUAGAGGCGGUACAGAGCUUGGUGAAGGCGAGAUAAAGAGUGUUUC